rnacentral:rRNA from 1 species
AGAAUGAACGCUAGCGAUAUGCUUAACACAUGCAAGUUGAACGUUGUUUUCGAAUCAGAAUGAGAACAAAGUAGCGAACGGGUGCGUAACACGUGGGAAUCUGCCGAACAGUUUGGGCCAAAUCCCGAAUGAAUAAAAGCUAAAAAGCGCUGUUUGAUGAGCCCACGUAGUAUUAGGUAGUUGGUUAGGUAAAAGCUGACCAAGCCUACGAUGCUUAGCUGGUCUUUUCGGAUGAUCAGCCACACUGGGACUGAGACACGGCCCAGACUCCUACGGGAGGCAGCAGUGGGGAAUCUUGGACAAUGGGCGAAAGCCUGAUCCGGCAAUAUGGCGUGAGUGAAGAAGGGCAACGCAGCUUGUAAAGCUCUUUCAUCGAGUGUGCGAUUGUGACAAGACUCGAAUAAGAAGCCCCGGCUAACCUCCGCGCCAGCAGCCGC